AGGGAAUCUUCCACAAUGGACGGAAGUCUGAUGGAGCAACGCCGCGUGAGUGAUGAAGGUUUUCGGAUCGUAAAACUCUGUUGUAAGGGAAGAACCAGUACGUCAGGCAAUGGACGUACCUUGACGGUACCUUAUUAGAAAGCCACGGCUAACUACGUGCCAGCAGCCGCGGUAAUACGUAGGUGGCAAGCGUUGUCCGGAAGUAUUGGGCGUAAAGCGCGCGUAGGUGGUUCGGCAAGUCAGAUGUGAAAGCCCGGGGCUCAACCCCGGGACUGCAUUUGAAACUGUCGGGCUAGAGUGCAGGAGAGGUAAGUGGAAUUCCUAGUGUAGCGGUGAAAUGCGUAGAUAUUAGGAGGAACACCAGUGGCGAUGGCGGCUUACUGGACUGUAACUGACACUGAGGCUCGAAAGCGUGGGGAGCAAACA
rnacentral:rRNA from 1 species